CUGCUGAAGGGAAAAAUAUUUAGCCUUUGACUGAGCUACUGCGGACAUAUUGUAACGUGUUCGGGCAAGCUGGACUCCUGCCCCUAGUUGUCAUUUUUGCAGACCGUUUUUCCUCGACGUUUUGCAAUUUUGUACGAGGCAAUUAUUAUUUACGGAUAGGCAACGUCACUGAUACUUGGGGUAUUUUCUUCCGUGAAAAGAGUAGUCUACAGAUUAGGGACCCCUCCGCGAGUCAAGUUUUUUUUAAUCUAGAAAAAGCGCACGGGAUAUUUUGCCUCAAAUGAGGUUCUGAAAUUAUUUAAAAAAUAUAGAUAUUUUAGAAAACACGAGUCAAGAUGGAUCUGAGACUACUUUCAAUAGCAACAUUAUUAGGAAUCUUAUGUUUCUGCAGUGCACAGCAAGAGGGCAGUGAUUGCAUCAAGGCCAAUGCACAAUCAUGUGGGGAAUGCAUCCAAGUGGCAGAGAAAUGUGGAUGGUGUACAGACAUUGACUUCCUGAAGCAGGGAGAGUCUAAGUCAGCACGCUGUGAUGAGCUACAGUCCCUGAUCACAAAGGGCUGCACUAAGGCCAAGAUUGAGAACCCCCGGGGAAGCACCUCCAUCAACAAGAACAAGGCUGUCACCAACCGCAAGAAGGACAUGGCAGAGAAGCUGAAGGCUGACCAGAUCACUCAGAUCCAGCCUCAGAAACUCACCCUCAACCUCCGAUCCGGUGAGGCCCAGACCUUUAAGUUGAAGUUCAAGAGGGCAGAGGACUACCCCAUCGACCUCUACUACUUGAUGGAUCUCUCCUUCUCCAUGAAAGACGAUUUGGAGAAUGUCAAGAAUCUGGGGACUGAUCUGAUGCGUGAGAUGAAGGAGGUCACCUCAGACUUCAAAAUCGGUUUCGGCUCCUUUGUGGAGAAGACGGUGAUGCCAUACAUCAGCACUACCCCAGCCAGACUGCUGAACCCCUGCACCAGCACCAACAACGACACCUGCACCAGCCCCUUCAGCUAUAAGAACGUGCUGAAGCUGACUGAGAACGGGAAGGAGUUCAACAGCCUGGUCAGUAAGCAGCAGAUCUCUGGAAACCUGGACUCCCCUGAGGGAGGAUUCGAUGCCAUCAUGCAGGUGGCCGUCUGUGGGGAUGCCAUUGGCUGGAGGAACGUCACACGUCUGUUGGUGUUCUCCACUGAUGCUGGCUUCCACUUUGCUGGAGACGGCAAGUUGGGCGGCAUCGUUCUGCCCAACGAUGGGAAGUGUCAUCUGGAGAACAACAUGUACACCAUGAGCCAUUACUACGACUAUCCCUCCAUUGCCCAUUUGGUCCAGAAACUGAGCGACAACAACAUUCAGACCAUUUUUGCUGUUACUGAGGAAUUCCAGCCUGUUUACAAGGAACUGAAGAACCUCAUCCCCAAGUCAGCAGUAGGAACUCUGUCCUCCAACUCCAGCAACGUCAUCAAGCUCAUUAUCGAUUCUUACAACUCUCUGUCAUCUGAAGUCAUUCUGGAAAACGGCAAGCUGCCUGAAGGUGUAUCCAUAACAUACAAGUCCAUCUGCAAGAACGGUUGGGUUGGAACAGGAGAGAAUGGAAGAAAAUGCUCGAACAUCUCCAUUGGAGAUGAGGUGUCCUUUGAGAUUGCCAUCAAGUCCGAGAAGUGUCCGCCUCAAGGCAAGUCCGAGACCAUUACAAUCAAGCCCCUGGGUUUUACUGAGAAUGUGGAGAUCGUCCUCAACUUCAUCUGCGAAUGUGAAUGUUCCAAAGAUGGGAAACCUCUCAGCGAGAUGUGCCACAAUGGCAACGGGACCUUUGAGUGUGGAGCCUGCAGGUGCAACGAGGGCCGUAUUGGCAGACUGUGUGAGUGCAGUACAGACGAGGUGAGGACGGAUGACCUGGACGCUAACUGUCGGAAGGACAACGGUACAGACAUCUGCAGCAACAACGGAGACUGUGUGUGUGGAACCUGUGAGUGUAAAAAGAGAGAGAACCCAGAAGAGCGUUACAGUGGGAAGUUCUGCGAGUGUGACAACUUCAACUGUGACCGCUCCAGCAACAAACUCUGUGGAGGACAUGGACGUUGUGAGUGCAGGGUGUGUAUCUGUGAUGCCAACUACACGGGCAGCGCCUGCGACUGUUCCCUGGACACCUCCACCUGCCUAGCAGCCAACAAGCAGAUAUGUAAUGGCCGGGGCACCUGCGAGUGUGGCGUCUGCAAAUGCACCAACCCCAAGUUCCAGGGUCCCACCUGUGAGAUCUGCCCCACCUGCUCCGGAGUCUGCGCUGAGCACAAGGACUGUGUUCAGUGCCGGGCCUUUGACACAGGAGAGAAGAAGGACACGUGUGAGAGGGACUGCAGCUACUUCAACCUGAUCAGAGUGAAGGACCGGGACAAGCUGCCCCAGCCAGCCGACCAGUCCUACCCCCUAUCCCACUGUAAGGAGAGGGAUGCCAACGACUGCUGGUUCUACUACACCUACGCCGUCAGGAACCACACAGAGAGGGAGGUCUACGUGGUUGACACUCUGGAGUGCCCAGCGGGUCCUGAUAUUAUCCCCAUCGUGGCUGGCGUGGUGGCGGGCAUCGUGCUGAUCGGCCUGGCCCUCCUUCUCAUAUGGAAGCUGCUCAUGAUCAUCCACGACCGCAGGGAAUUUGCCAAGUUCGAGAAGGAGAAAAUGAACGCAAAGUGGGACACGGUACUUUACUUUCCCUUUGGAGUGUUUUGAGCUUGAGGGUUUUCCACACCCGUUUUCAGCUCAUAUGUUCAUUCUCUUCUUCAAGACAAAAGCUGCAAGAGAUCCAUUUUCUCAUUUCAGCAGGAGUGAAUCCCAUCUACAAGAGUGCCGUAACAACUGUUUUCAAUCCAAAAUACGAGGGUAAAUGAUGGAGCUUCCUCUGUCAUUACAACACUGUAUGCAAAAGAACAAUGAAGGAGGGGUGUUUUUAUGUUCACUUUUGUUUUUUUAGUUGCCAAAUAAUAGCAGGGCAUUUAGCCACUAUUUCAGUAUGUUUUACUAACUGCUUUUUCUAUGCAUUGUUUGAAUUGUACAGUAUGUAUAAACUUGGGUUUUAACUUGUUUGUGGAACUUGAGAGAAUCCUUUAAAAGUGAUAUUUUGCCACUAGAUUGGUAGGGUCAUUGAAGGUGAGGUUGUGCCUUUAAAAGAACCGUGGAGCCAUUCUUUCUGUUUUGAGCGUGAAAUUGGAUGUCGAUAUUGGACAAGAUAUGUAGCGAUAGCUGGCCAUUGGGACAGCAAUAAAUUGUUAUGUGUACAGUUUGUAGGCAAUGGAUUCUGUCUAAGCCAUAUUUUAGUGACAGAAAAGGUCUGGAAGCAAAGGUAUGUUUCUUUUCAAUGACUUUCUUCAACCUGAACAAUCAGUUUAAUCAUUUUUGGGGUUUGUCACGAUAUUUGUGAAUCUUUAUAAAUGAAAUGACAUCAAGUACAGUAGUGGUAUUAUGGGUUUCAGGUUUACAUUUUUUUGUUUUAAAGAAGACUCAGGUCCCUAUUAAACUCCUCAUUAAUAGCAAUGCCAAAUAUGACAUAACUCACUGCCUUCUCGUUUUAAGUGUUUUGUUUCAGAAAUGUAAUUCUGAAUGGGGUUCUGAAUGUUUUUUUACUUGACCUAAAGCCCCAGCUUUCUUUUUUGCUGUCAAAUCAUUCUCACCUUAAUCCUUUUCUAAUUUGAUGGUUUGAUCAAACUCGUCUUCCAUUGAAUAAUUGUAAUUACAUUUCAGUUAUAAACAUCAGUGUUAUGGGAAUGACGUCAGUCAGAUCUUUGUCAAAUUUAAAACAGUUGUAAGAACACGCCGUGCUCUUUGUUUUUAAAGGGUAUUUUUAUUUAAUCAAAUUCACAUUUUGCAAUACUUUAUUUCUAAACUCAUUUAUUAAAUAAAGUUCCAAUACAAAUUGCCCUAACAUUGCUA